UACGUAGGAUGCGAGCGUUAUCCGGAUUUAUUGGGUUUAAAGGGUGCGUAGGCGGCCUUGUAAGUCAGCGGUGAAAUUUUGCAGCUUAACUGUAAAAGUGCCGUUGAUACUGCAUGGCUAGGAUUUGGUUGCUGUGGGUGGAAUGUGUGGUGUAGCGGUGAAAUGCUUAGAUAUCACACAGAAUAUCGAUUGCGAAGGCAGCUCACAAAGCCAAGAUUGACGCUGAGGCACGAAAGCGUGGGGAUCAAACAGGA
rnacentral:rRNA from 1 species